rnacentral:rRNA from 1 species
GUGUAGGACCAUUGCAGAUGAUAUAUACCCGAUCUCGUUUAAUCUCGGAAGUCAAGCAAUCUCGGGCUUGGUUAGUACUUGGAUGGGUGACCGCUUGGGAAUACCAAGUGUGAUAAGCA